rnacentral:rRNA from 1 species
UACGAAGGGGGCUAGCGUUGUUCGGAAUUACUGGGCGUAAAGCGCACGUAGGCGGUGUUCCAUGUCAGAGGUGAAAGCCUGGGGCUCAACUCCAGAAUUGCCUUUGAAACGGGGACGCUUGAGUCCGAGAGAGGAUGGCGGAAUUCCUAGUGUAGAGGUGAAAUUCGUAGAUAUUAGGAAGAACACCGGUGGCGAAGGCGGCCACCUGGCUCGGUACUGACGCUCAGGUGCGAAAGCGUGGGGAGCAAACAGG